UACGGGGGGUGCGAGCGUUGUCCGGAUUCACUGGGCGUAAAGGGCGCGUAGGCGGCCCGGUCAGUCGGUCCUUUAAGAGCGGGGCUCACCCCCGUGGGGGGACCGGGACGGCCGGGCUGGGGCGCGGCAGAGGGGGACGGAAUGCCGGGUGUAGUGGUGAAAUGCGUAGAGAUCCGGCGGAACACCGGUGGCGCAGGCGGUCCCCUGGGCCGAGGCCGACGCUGAGGCGCGAGAGCGCGGGGAGCGAACCGG
rnacentral:rRNA from 1 species